CCUUAACCCACUGAGUGAAACCAGGGAUCGAACCCACAACCUCAUGGUUCCUAGUCGGAUUCAUUUCCGCUGCACCACGUCGGGAACUCUAAUAAAGUUAAAAAAAGAAAUCCCAUCAUUCUAGCAAUUGAUGAAGACAAGGCAUGUGACAAAAUCCAACAUCCAUUCACGAUAAAAAACAUGAUAGAAAAUAGGAAUUAAUUCCUUAAUAAAGCACAUCUACAAAAAGCCUACAUCUAACAUAAUAAUGUUGAAAAACAAUGCUUUCCAUCUAAGAUCAGGAACCAGUCAAAAAUGUUUACUCUCACUACUCAACCCAGUGCCGAAAGUUUUCACCAGUGUAAUAAAGCAAGAAAAGGAAAUAAAAGGCAUACAAAUUGGAAAGGAAGAAGUAAAACAGUUCUCACUUGCAGAUAACAUGAUUGUCUAUGUAGAAAAUCCCAAGGAAUGUAUCAAACUCCUAGAACUAAUAAGUCCAGUGAGGUCACUGAAUACAAGAUUUACAUGCAAAAGGCAGCUGUAGUUUUAUUAUAAGCAGUGAACAUGUGGACACUGAAAAUACAAUACUAUUUUCAACUACUGGAAGCAUGUAAUCUAAUAAAACAGGAAUGAAGGGGAGACAUAAAUUUGCUUUAGGCCAAAGCAGCACAUGGUCAGUGCUUUAACCACUGACCAACCCGGGUCUCCAUGCUUCUGAGGAGGAAGCUGGAGGGUCAGGAAAGCUUCCUGGAGGAGAUAGCCUUUAAAUUUGGCCUUGAAGACGGGAGAAUGUCAAUAGAAGGGCUGCAUAUGGGAAAGAGAUUCCAGGAAUGACACAGCAAAGGCAUGGAAGUGGGAGCCCAGAGGGACAUUUCUGGGAAGGGCAAGUAGCAAUGUACAGGGAACCCCACAAGUUCAUGAACAGAGGGGCAACAGCAGGAACGGAGAGUCGGGGCCGGACUGUGAUGAGGCUUUAAGGACUAGGCAGAGGAGUGUAGACUUCAGUGAGUAUUCGAGGUCAGCUUGAUUUAUUUUGACAUUAGAAUGCUUCUUGCUACUGCCUGGGAAAGAGAGGCUAUGUUCCAAGUUAAUAUUCCAUUUUAACACCUAAUUUGAUAGUGAAACAGAGGCACUUAAGCCUGGAGUAAACACAGUCAUACCCUGACCACAAAAGCAUCACUGAUGGACUAAUAAAAAGGAAAGGAGUCAUGGGCAAAACAAAUACGUCUUUGCAGUUCCCAAGGCAGUACCACCUCAUAAACACUACCGACCUUUUGCUUGUUAUGACAAGACAAGCCCUCAGAGCUUCAGUUUUAAUUGAAAACCAGACUACCAGCAAAAUGCCCUUAACAGUUGUUACGGAUUGAAUUGCAUCUUCCAAAAAGACAUGAUGAGGAGUUCCAGCUGUGGCACAACGAGAUGAGGACGGUCAAACAGGACUACUCAGACAGGAAGGGGGUGAUGUGCAAAACCUCCCAUCAAGGGUGAAAUCACUACUGCAGUGGUAACCUCUGCACCUGUGACUGGCAGACACCUGGAGGCCUGGCGGUCGUGAUUCGAGGGCCUCAGCAUCCUCAGACCUGCGGUUACUCAUUAACCGCAGGCAACUUCGGUAACUUCUUUCCGCUUCAGUCUCUAUCUGUAAAACGCAGGCUUACUUAACGUCCUUGGAUUGAUGUGAGGAUAAAUUGAGAAAAAUGUAUGUGACCUAUUUUAAAAUGUGCCUGCUACUAGGAAGCGGUUGAUAAGCUUAGCCGCCAUCACCAUCAUUUCAUCAUCAUCCUCGCCUUAAUGGAAAACCAGUGUGUUUGGGGGCUGCCAGGUGCCAGUGAAAUGCGCGGGCCUGACCUGACAUGCUUGGGGGAGGAGGGCUGCUGGAGUUCCUCAUUGGGUGCAGGGGGCUUCCCGUCCUCCCCCACGCACGCCCCGCCCCUUCUAGGUGUCCCGGAGUCCCCGACCCCGCCUGGUCAGGGCUCCUAGUCCACACUCUAGGCGCCAGCGGCCGGAUUUCAGGUCCGAGGAAGCCCUCGACCAGGUGACGGCUGAAGCCGGGGAGAGGCUCUCCUUCAGCACCUCUCUGCGUUCCUGCGGAACUGCCACCGGGAGUCGCAGGCACCGGGGAGCUGACAGGCAGCUGCAACUGUGCAGCCUCUGAAGCCCUCAAGAACCUGGCCGUGGGGAAGUCCAGGCACUGGCUCAAAUGAGAGAGGACUUCCCAGAAGCACAAGGAAAAGGACCAACGCAUGUGAAGCUGGCGGAUUUCUCUCCUGACGUAGCUUUGCAGACAGUGAGAGCGUGAAGGGCUCUUAACGACCGAGAUCCCACCUGCCUCAAAUGAAAGCAGUAACCCCAAGGGGUUGUCUGGUGUGGUGCAGAAAUUCCCUGGUAACAUAGGACCAUGGGGUUCCUGGAGCCUCUCUCCUCCUGUCCUUUUAUAAAUAAGAAAAUUAAUGAAGGUAUGUGAGGAAAGGCAGAUUCAGUUGGAGACCUUGUAUUAGUGCUUAUCAGUUUUACUAACAUUAGUUUCAGACAAAGUUUUGGCUUCUUCUGGCAAGGAAAACCUCCAAAGUAGAUUAUUUUCAAGGUCCUCUGAAAGAUCUUGACUUUUUAUUAGGUAAAGUUAAAUUCAUAUUCACUGUUCAAUCUAUGCAGGAACUGUAUAAAUAAAUACACACUCAAUUUUACUUUUAUAUUUCUGAAGGCUAAUCCUAAAACUAGUACAAUAAUUCUAUAGGGCAAUAGCUUGCCCAUCAUUAAAUCAUUAUAGUCCAGAGUCUUCUAGCACAGCCAGAGAAUUGAUCCAAAGCCUACAAUGAAAAGAUUUACUAUGGUUGUGUAAUACCUGUAAGUAUUAAAAAUAGAAUUUUGGUUUUAUUAAAAUAAUCUAGAAAUGUCUUUAUUCUUGCUUUUUAACAAAUGGCAACAAUUUAUCCCAGUAAGCAUCAAGUCAAUUUCAUUACUGGAGUAAUUUUUUUUUUAUCAACCACAAAACCUUUCAGGAGGUACUUAGCAACUAAAAGCUAAAAACUUGUACCUUUAUAUUAGAAAAUUAGACAAAUAUCGGUCUAAAUAUUGUCAAUAGUUUAGUAAAAUUAGUAGACUUUGUGAUAAAACGAUAAAAAUCCGUAACAAAGGAUGGAAACUGUAGAGUCUAAGCUGGAUUUGGGAUUUUAGUUAACAUUAACAUGUAUAAAGUCAUUCACUGUUUUAUUUACAAUUAGGUUAACAGUGAUUUAUUUGUGGUCGACUCUAUAGACAUGUAACUACACCAUCUAAAACCAGCCAAAUCUCUAAUUUUGCUAUAAUAUGACUCUUAUUUAAAGAAAAAAGCUACAUCUGGAUAGCAGCAGAAACAACACAUUCAAUACUAAAAACACACAAAAAAAAAAUCUCUAAAAGAACGAACACGGGUCACUGUCUGGGGAGAGGGAAACUUUGUAAAAGUAAAUUUUCAAUUCUGGCA